rnacentral:rRNA from 1 species
AUGGAGAGUGUUCCAGUGUUGAUUGUUGGUGCUGGGCCAGCAGGCCUUGCAACGGCAGCAUGCCUUGGUCAAUUCUCGAUUCCUUAUGCCAUCGUCGAGCGCGAGAGCUGUAGCGCGUCACUCUGGCGCAACCGUGCAUAUGAUCGCCUCAAGCUGCAUCUCGCAAAGGAGUUCUGUGAGUUGCCACACAUGUCAUACCCUGUAGAUGCACCAACAUACAUACCAAAAACCUUGUUUGUGAAGUACUUGGAUGACUAUGUUGAGCGUUUCAACAUUCAACCAAAGUAUCUCACCAGCGUGGAGUCAUCCACAUAUGACAAUGAUGAAAAAUGUUGGUCCAUUGUGGCAACGGACAUGUCAAAGUGCACCACAGUCAAGUUCACGGCAAAGUUUCUUGUUGUGGCAAGUGGUGAGAAUAGUGCAGAGAAUAUUCCAAUGAUCCCUGGACUAGAAAACUUUCCAGGUGAUGUCAUCCACUCCUCAAGCUACAAGUCAGGCAAGAGCUACUCUGGCAAGAAUGUAUUGGUCGUUGGAUCUGGCAACUCCGGGAUGGAAAUUGCUUAUGACCUUGCGACCCAUGGUGCCAAUACAUCGAUUGUUAUACGAAGCCCGAUUCAUGUAAUGACAAAGGAAUUAAUUCGUUUGGGGAUGACACUUGCUCACCAUCUUCCAUUGAAUCUAGUGGAUAAACUCCUUGUGAUGGCAGCGUAUUUAAUAUUUGGAGACCUGUCACGACAUGGCAUCACAAGGCCAAAAAUGGGUCCAAUGACCCUCAAAUCAGAAACAGGCCGAUCUGCGGUGAUUGAUGUUGGGACUGUUGGAUUGAUCAAAAAAGGCAUCAUCAAAGUUCAGGGGAGCAUUAGUAAGAUCAAGGGCAACAUAGUU